rnacentral:rRNA from 1 species
CCUACGGGAGGCAGCAGUGGGGAAUAUUGGUCAAUGGGCGAAAGCCUGAACCAGCCACGUCGCGUGAGGGAGUACUGCCCUAUGGGUUGUAAACCUCUUUUGCCAGGGAAGAGUAGAAGACGGUACCUGACGAAUCAGCCACGGAUAACUACGUGGCAGCAGCCGCGGUAAUUCGGUGGGGGGAAGCGUUGUGCGGAUUUACUGGGUGUAAAGGGCGUGGAGGCGGGUUGAAAAGUCAGAUGGGAAAUCCUGCGGCUUAACCGGAAAUCUGCAUUUGAAACUGUUGAUCUUGAGUACUGGAGAGGCAGAUGGAAUUCCUAGUGUAGCGGUGAAAUGCGUAGAUAUUAGGAGGAACACCGAUUGCGAAGGCAGCUUACUAAACUGCCACUGACAUUGAUGCUCGAAAGUGUGGGUAUCAAACAGGAUUAGAUACCCUAGUAGUC